CCGCCCCUGCCCGCCGUCCUUCUCACUGACACAGAGGAGUACCGCCAGUGGCCCCCCGACACCCCCGGUCCCUCCUACCGCCUGACAGGGGAGCAGCGCGCCUUCCUACACACCACCGUCACCAGCCUCGCCCACUUCCUGGUGUGGCGGGACCCUCAACAAGGACAAACUGACUGGCUGGUGGUUGGCUUGCUGACGACUCUUGUGGCUUCCUGGAUCAUCAACGGCCUGCUUCUCCUGCACCUAUGGCGUCUGUGUGCCUCCAGCCGCAAGGGGAAGCCGAAAGAGGCUGACCACUGCUCUGCCGAGGUGCUCAUCUCAAGGGGCGUGAAGUAUAGGCCGGAGGAUUCGAACUAGUGACCGCCCCUACCUUCAGCCAUCCCCCCCCCCUCUCCCUCUCUCUCUCUUGUGGUUGUUGAAAGAAUUAUAUGUAUUUUUUCAUUGUAUUUAUUGUCUAUUUAUAUUUUUUUGUUUGUCCGUGGUAUGUAGUACUGUGUCAUACUGAAUACAAAAUCUUGACUUAUUUUUUCCUGUUUUUAACUUAUUUGUUUUAUGCAGCGAACAAAAUCAGUGAUUACAGCAACUACCACUACUAUAAGGCCCGCAGCUGCUACUACUACUACUACUACUACUACUACUACUACAGUUACUACUACUACUACUACUACUACUACUACUACUACUACUACUGCUGCUGCUGCUGCUACUACUUCUACUAUAAAUGGCUGCUUCAAAAUAUUUAUACAGGGGGAGAUGGGUGAUGGUGGUACUGUGUUUGGACAAGGAUGAGACUGGUUGGGUUUCUUAAGAAUAGGAAUAAGUCUUUGGUAAAAAAAAUGCCGACUCUGGGCCACGACAACCCAGCGACUCGGGGUAUGCGAGGUCUUGGGUGUGAAAUACUGAUAUGAAAGGGUCGCACAUGGUCGGAAAGAGGUCUAGAAACGAUCGCCGGAUGCUGAUUCGGCACCGUGUGAAGGGAGCCAAGUCACUGGGUUGUCGUGGCCCAGAGUCGGCACAGUGUGAACGGGGAUUUAGUGUUUGUUUUCUGGUCACACAAAGACCUCACUAACAUUGACACUGGUUACUCUUUCACCAGAUCUUACGGAAGCAUUACAUUCUUCUUUAUUUCAUGGAGAAUGGAAAAUCAAAUGAAGAGAAAGAAGAAAGAAAAGAGAAGGAGGAGAGGAGAGAAAGAAGAUGGAAGAGAAAGAUACAGAUAAAAAAUAAGAAGUAGGAGAGGAAAAAAAACUAAAGUACAAAGAAAGAAAAAGAAGGAGAAGGAAGAGGAUAAGAAGGAGAAAAAGAGAAGAAAGAUACAAAGAACCUGAUAUAUAAAAAAAAGAAAAAAUGCCCCCUGAUAAAACCAAAAGAACUAUCUACUUAUGUAUGAACAGAUAGAUAAACACACUACAUUGUACCCUAAAAAAGCCAUUCCAUACACACACACACACACACACACACACACACACACACACACACACACAUCUAUCCAUAAUACAUACAAAGACACAUACACAUACAUACGUAAACUUUACAUAUACACAAUUUCGUCGUAAAAACAUGCAGUAACUACAAGUAGGAACAAGUACCCAUUUGUUCUUGCCCUAGAAAUCGGCAAGUCACACAGAGUUAAUAAUACUGAAGGUUUGCUCAUUGUCAGGGUUUAGUUAAGGCAUUAGUGGUGGGAGGAACUGAACCCCUUUACUCUAUAGCUCAAGACUUGUUGGGCUUAUUAGAGUUAAGAAAAGGAGUUAUUGAGAACUAUAUUACAUUGUGUGUGUGUGUGGGGGAGGGGGGGGAUUGUGCGGGUCAGUUUUUCUUUUUCUCUUUCGUGUAUGGGUAAUUUUUUCUUUGUGUGUGUACAGAUCAGGGUUUGUGUGUGUAUAUGUGUGUGUGUGUGUGUGUGUGUGUGUGUGUGUGU